CCCCAGCCUUCCUGCAGGCCCUCGCCAGCUUCCUGGAGACAAAAACGUGGAUGUAGGGGGAGAGAAAAGACUCCCCCAGGGCUAGAGCCCCUGUGUGCAGCCAGUCAUUAUUUCUAGGGUGAGCGGAUUUGCACCCCAAGGAAACACGAGACUGAAAUCUGAACCUGGGUCUCCUGUUCUGUCUUUCUGACCUACUGACUCUUAGAUAGUUUGCUGGGCAACAUGCCACUGAUUGACAGUGACUGUCGGCCAGUGUCACUGACCGACUUUCUAUUCUAUGAAAGAAUGGGAGGGUCUCCUGGAUUUCCCUCAAAGAUGGAAGACUCUAGAUGAGUGUCCAGUCACUG